GGGUGUCCCGCACGGGCUUCAAACUCGCU
rnacentral:tRNA from 12 species